rnacentral:rRNA from 1 species
GUUAGGAAUAUUGGACAAUGGGCGCAAGACUGACCCAGCCAUGCCGCGUGCAGGAAGACGGCCCUCUGGGUUGUAAACUGCUUUUAUCUGGGAAGAAAAAGGCCAUGCGUGGCAAAUUGCCGGUACCAGAUGAAUAAGCACCGGCUAACUCCGUGCCAGCAGCCGCGGUAAUACGGAGGGUGCGAGCGUUGUCCGGAUUUAUUGGGUUUAAAGGGUGCGUAGGCGGCUGAUUAAGUCAGCGGUGAAAGACUUCGGCUUAACCGGAGCAGUGCCGUUGAUACUGGUUGGCUUGAGUGUCGGAGGGGUACAUGGAAUUGAUGGUGUAGCGGUGAAAUGCAUAGAUACCAUCAGGAACACCGAUAGCGAAGGCAUUGUACUGGCCGACAACUGACGCUGAUGCACGAAAGUGUGGGGAUCGAACAGGAUUAGAAACCCUAGUAGUCC